UACGUAGGGGGCAAGCGUUGUCCGGAAUCAUUGGGCGUAAAGCGCGCGUAGGCGGCCCGGUAAGUCCGCUGUGAAAGUCGGGGGCUCAACCCUCGGAUGCCGGUGGAUACUGUCGGGCUUGAGUGCGGAAGAGGCGAGUGGAAUUCCUGGUGUAGCGGUGAAAUGCGCAGAUAUCAGGAGGAACACCAAUUGCGAAGGCAGCUCGCUGGGACGUUACUGACGCUGAGGAGCGAAAGCGUGGGGAGCAAACAGG
rnacentral:rRNA from 1 species